UACGUAGGGGGCAAGCGUUGUCCGGAAUCAUUGGGCGUAAAGCGCGCGUAGGCGGCCAGAUAAGUCCGGUGUGAAAGUCACAGGCUCAACCUGUGAAUGCCGCUGGAAACUGUCUGGCUUGAGUCCGGAAGGGGCGAGUGGAAUUCCUGGUGUAGCGGUGAAAUGCGCAGAUAUCAGGAGGAACACCGGUGGCGAAGGCGGUUACCUGGAGAUUUGCUGACGCUGAUGCGCGAAAGCGUGGGGAGCGAACAGG
rnacentral:rRNA from 1 species